rnacentral:rRNA from 1 species
CCCUUUCGGGGGUACUCGAGUGGCGAACGGGUGAGUAACACGUGGGUGAUCUGCCCUGCACUUUGGGAUAAGCCUGGGAAACUGGGUCUAAUACCGAAUACACCCUGCUGGUCGCAUGGCCUGGUAGGGGAAAGCUUUUGCGGUGUGGGAUGGGCCCGCGGCCUAUCAGCUUGUUGGUGGGGUGAUGGCCUACCAAGGCGACGACGGGUAGCCGGCCUGAGAGGGUGACCGGCCACACUGGGACUGAGAUACGGCCCAGACUCCUACGGGAGGCAGCAGUGGGGAAUAUUGCACAAUGGGCGCAAGCCUGAUGCAGCGACGCCGCGUGAGGGAUGACGGCCUUCGGGUUGUAAACCUCUUUCAGCACAGACGAAGCGCAAGUGACGGUAUGUGCAGAAGAAGGACCGGCCAACUACGUGCCAGCAGCCGCGGUAAUACGUAGGGUCCGAGCGUUGUCCGGAAUUACUGGGCGUAAAGAGCUCGUAGGUGGUUUGUCGCGUUGUUCGUGAAAACUCACAGCUUAACUGUGGGCGUGCGGGCGAUACGGGCAGACUAGAGUACUGCAGGGGAGACUGGAAUUCCUGGUGUAGCGGUGGAAUGCGCAGAUAUCAGGAGGAACACCGGUGGCGAAGGCGGGUCUCUGGGCAGUAACUGACGCUGAGGAGCGAAAGCGUGGGGAGCGAACAGGAUUAGAUACCCUGGUAGUCCACGCCGUAAACGGUGGGUACUAGGUGUGGGUUUCCUUCCUUGGGAUCCGUGCCGUAGCUAACGCAUUAAGUACCCCGCCUGGGGAGUACGGCCGCAAGGCUAAAACUCAAAGGAAUUGACGGGGGCCCGCACAAGCGGCGGAGCAUGUGGAUUAAUUCGAUGCAACGCGAAGAACCUUACCUGGGUUUGACAUGCACAGGACGCCGGCAGAGAUGUCGGUUCCCUUGUGGCCUGUGUGCAGGUGGUGCAUGGCUGUCGUCAGCUCGUGUCGUGAGAUGUUGGGUUAAGUCCCGCAACGAGCGCAACCCUUGUCUCAUGUUGCCAGCACGUUAUGGUGGGGACUCGUGAGAGACUGCCGGGGUCAACUCGGAGGAAGGUGGGGAUGACGUCAAGUCAUCAUGCCCCUUAUGUCCAGGGCUUCACACAUGCUACAAUGGCCGGUACAAAGGGCUGCGAUGCCGUGAGGUGGAGCGAAUCCUUUCAAAGCCGGUCUCAGUUCGGAUCGGGGUCUGCAACUCGACCCCGUGAAGUCGGAGUCGCUAGUAAUCGCAGAUCAGCAACGCUGCGGUGAAUACGUUCCCGGGCCUUGUACACACCGCCCGUCACGUCAUGAAAGUCGUUAACACCCGAAGCCGGUGGCC